rnacentral:lncRNA from 1 species
AUGGCAUGGCACCGGGUUAGCCCUGCUGCGACCUCACUGUUCCAUCAGCAACAGCUCACAAAGCAUCACCUAAAGCAGCCUUGUGCCAGCUCACGCUGUCACCCACACUCAGACCUGCCUGUGUGCUGCUUUCCCCUCGUCGCUGGUCCUCGUUGCAGCACCUCCGUGAGACACUUUUAUCACCAGGCUGUGCAGGUCACUGGGUGCCUACCUCUGCUUUGCCUCCUGCCCUGGAUGCCAGAGGGAGGUGGGACCCCUGUGCAGCCCUCGGCUGGGACCACGCAGCUCUGCUCGGACACUGAGGAGUUACCUUGUGCACGCAGCCCCAGAGGCUCUGCACGGAGCAUCCUAGUGCAAGGCACAAGGAACAACGGAAAUAACAUCCGAAGCCUCGAAAUGCAUGAUGUAAGCCCAGACAAACCGAACCACGUACACACCGACCCUUUUUCCAACAACUAA